UAACCACUCAAGCCUCGGCUUGGUCUUGGGGUUCGCGGUCCCGCGGCCCUUAAAAUCAGUGGCGGUGGCGUCUGGCUCUAAGCGUAGUAAUUCUCUCGCUAUAGGGUCCCGGCGGUUGCCUGCCAGAACCCCCCAUUUUUUAC
rnacentral:misc_RNA from 1 species